rnacentral:rRNA from 1 species
CGUAGGGUGCGAGCGUUAAUCGGAAUUACUGGGCGUAAAGUGUGCGCAGGCGACGUCGCAAGUCGAGUGUGAAAGCCCCGGGCUUAACUUGGGAAUUGCGCUCGAAACUACGAUGCUGGAGUGAGGCAGAGGAAGGUGGAAUUCCACGUGUAGCGGUGAAAUGCGUAGAGAUGUGGAGGAACACCAAUGGCGAAGGCAGCCUUCUGGGCCAACACUGACGCUCAUGCACGAAAGCGUGGGGAGCAAACAGGAUUAGAUACCCUGGUAGUCCACGCCCUAAACGAUGAUGACUAGUUGUUGGAGGAGUUAAAUCCUUUAGUAACGCAGCUAACGCGCGAAGUCAUCCGCCUGGGGAGUACGGUCGCAAGAUUA